UACGUAGGGUGCAAGCGUUGUCCGGAAUUAUUGGGCGUAAAGAGCUCGUAGGCGGUUUGUCGCGUCUGCUGUGAAACGCGAGGCUCAACCUCGCGCCUGCAGUGGGUACGGGCAGACUAGAGUGCGGUAGGGGAGAUUGGAAUUCCUGGUGUAGCAGUGAAAUGCGUAGAGAUCGGGAGGAACAUCAGUUGCGAAGGCGGCUCUCUGGACCAGCACUGACACUGAGGCACGAAAGCGUGGGAGCAAACAGG
rnacentral:rRNA from 1 species